GGCAACCCUGACAGCACUACCUCUCAGGAGCACAAUCUGGAAAGAGGGAGAGCCCUUCCAGUGAGCCUCGAGCUUUCCAAAUGAGUCUCCUGAUGAAGAGAAGGAGAAGGAGGAGUAUGCUGCUCUCAAAAUCCAAGCAGCCUUCCGGGGACACUUGGCCAGAGAGGAGGUGAAGAAGAUGAAAUCAGAUCAGCCCCAGGGUGAGGAAGACCAGUGAUGGCCCUGGCUUUGGCCUCCAGACAGUGGAGGGGAUCAUCUAGACCCAUCAACCUUGUUGUGGUGGCCAUUUUUUCCUUAGUAAGGGAGAUUCGAUGUUGUGAAAAUCGGUCGUGAGCAUCUGUUUAAUAAACGUGCCAUUGAGACAGGC